CAUUUUACCCUUGUGGGCUCCAGAGGGAUUCAGGGUCUGUUGCUGGGGCCCGUGGGUUUGGUGCAAUAUUUUGGUUUUGAGUCUGCAAAGCUGGUGUCAGUCUUUCACUUCUGCCUUGCAAAAGACUAAUGCAGGGAAGCUGGCCAGACUGACAAAGGUAGCGAAGUAACCUUUUUCUAUGGAGGAAAACACCCAUUAUCUUACUGAGCUUGGAUUACCAGUGUUUUUUCUCACUUUCUGCUUUAUGUUUCUUUUUUUUUUUUUCCCCCCUUGUGUGCUUGCAGUAAUGUCCGUAGCCAGACAUAUGCUCAUGGCCUGGAAUGAAGUCGACUGCAAUUACAUCCUAAGGGAGUCACUCAACGGGGGUUUUGUGGAGGUAGGACGCAGGCUCUGGUGGAGCUGCACAUGUGCUGCUAGACCUCCAACUGCACUCGCUCUGCCUGCAGCUUUGUGGGAGUGAGGAGCAGCAGGCUCAGAAAUACAGCCAGUCUGGUGCACAUCUGGAGACAGUAAUUGGAGUGCCUGUCUCUGUGCUAGAUGAGAGCCUGUGGGGAGUUCAGGGAGUGCAGGUCUGGGCCGUGUAUCACUCUGUCCCCAGGACCAAGCUGGGAGAGUGGGUAAAGAGACAUGAGCUUUCAAUACCUGCAAAUUUCCAUCUGGUUUGUUAGCAGUACUCCUCAUGAAGGGGAUUAUGAAAAGCUGGAGAUGCUACAGUGUUUCAGACUCAUUUGACUGUGGUGGCUGAGCUGAACCACUUCUGACGUGCCCUCCUGAAAGUGAACGGAGGACAAGGCUGUGCGGUGGGGCUGGUGACAACUCGGUUUCAACCUCUGCUGCAGCAGCCUGGCUGAGGUAUGCGAUGUAGAGGAGCUUGUGGAGGGGCUCACCACCCCCCUCCAGCUAUUCAGUACCACUCUGUGGGCACAAGGGUGUUACAAACUGAGCGGUGAAACCAGGCUUGCAGCUCUGGUGUGUGGUCAUUAUGGUGACAAAAAGCAUUCGGGCUGUUCUGGUGAAUCAGGCUGUGAGGGUAGGAAGGCUUGCCAGCAGCUCGGCUCUUCUGCUUCCUUCCACUGCUGCAGAUAACACCGUGCAGCCUCCCGGGGAGGGAGGUGCAUUUAUGCCCUUACCAAAGGUGUUUUCUGUUGAUAUGGUGUGUUCCUGCACAUGGGGGGGAAGGCAGAUAUGGCCAGACAUCCUCUCCCAGAUCCUGUUGCAUGGGUGAGAGCGGCUGCUGGCACUGGGGUUGCUCCUUUGUGCUCCUCUGGCUGGAGGCAAGCGCCCAUUUGGGGAUGCUUCCCAGAAAAUACAAUUGUACAGUGAACAGGUGCUUUCUGUCCAUGGCUUUGCACCUCCUGCUUCAGAGAGAGGCUGGAAGGAGAGCCAGGAAAUGGUGCUGAAAAAGUAUGGCAAAAAUGGUCAAGACCAGGUCUUUGCUCCUGGUUGUUAUUGGUUCCAUAUUUACUUGGGAUCUUUGCAUGCAGAGGAUGGCUUUUGGCUCACGAAGAGGAACUCUCGGAGGCUGGACUGUUUCCCCUCACACUCCUCUGUCUCUCCAAGACCGUGUGUAAUGCUCAGGAAGGCUUCUAGGGGCAAGGUGCUUUUCUGUAUCUAACAGAAAACCCUGCAAGCUCAUUAAUAAAGGCAAGAUAAAAUAAAGCUUGGAGAGUCAACAUGUUCAAGAAGAUAUGCCAUUCUGGGAAACAAGAGGAGAGGAGGUGUGUAUUUACGUGAACAAAAGAAGUCCAAACUGUAAGCCAUAAUAUAUCUGUUAGCUCAUUAAUGUGUCUGAUGCUGACUAAUUCCAGGGGUGUUCCUGCUGCCCAGCAGCAAAAGUGCAAAUAAGUGGACAGCUGUGAUUUAGUGCCAAAUACUUGAACACAUCGUGACAAUUCAGGCCACCCACUCUCUUAAGUAAAUACGACUUCUGUAGAAUCAUUUCAAACUGGGCUCAAGUGCAGAGCAGCCACUUUCAUGUGCAUCUCAGCCAAAUGGCCCUUAAGUAUUUGGGGCCAAACUGUGUCUUCUCUUACACCCUGUGAGCCCCCAUUCACUCCAGAGUUUGCACUGUGUAGCUGAGGGGCAGAGCUGACUCUUGAUGCUAAUCUGACUUUUUCUAGCUCAGUAAGUACAAUUUCACAUGUAAAUGUGAAUGUGGAACAGAUCUGGACUAGAUUAUCUCCUGAAUCCUUGACAAAAAGCCAUAAUUGUUUAUCCAGAUGAUGUUUCUUUCUCUCUCUUUUACUUUCUCCGCACUUUAAACCCGAGGUUUUAAUGGGCUUGUGAAAUAAAUACAUGAGUGUAGAUUACAGUGGUAUCAAAGGUGGGAGGAAAGCCCUUCUCUUCUCCUCAGCACAGCUAAAUGAUCACUUGCUGCACACUCCAGUUGUGCUCUCCAGAGCCUUGGGCAGGGGUGGCUGCGGAUCUGACGGUGGGAGGGAGGGUAUUUCCAAGACAACACUUAGCCCGGGGCUCCCAUUACAGAUGUGAAGGACUUGUGAUAUAUAUCUUUUUUUUUUCCUGGUAGGCAGUGAAAUUUGUGCUAGUGGCUAUAUCUGGGGCACAGGGUUGUUGGGGGAGGAGAAAAGCAAGGGAAUAUGGAAAAAAAAUUGUAUUUAUCAGGGAAAUCUAGUUUAAGAGCACAAGUACUAAAACAUUUUAAUCACAGUCAUACGGCUGUGUGUCACUGCAGGGCAGAAUUAAGGCUAUUUGUAUGCCUUGGUAGCACACUGCCACACUUCAACAAGUUUGAAUUUAUUUUAAGCAUAACUUUAACUCUGAAUUCCCUGGGUUUGUAAUGUCUGGUCUGGAAAUAAAUGCAACCUCUUUAUAUUGUACUUUACUCUUAAAAUAGGCUUUCCACUUUAGCUCCG